UGGACUCCCCAGCCCUCCUCUCACAGGCCUCCUGGGGGGCCCACCCCCUCCACAGAUGGGGAACCAGACCUGACUCUUAAGGCGGCAGGACGAGUAGCAGGGACUUCUUCCCUCCACAUCUGAUUCUCACCAGAGAAGAACUGGCUGUGGGGCAGAGAUGAUGGGAAUCUUUCCAGGAGGAGAAGAACCUGAACGUGGGCCCCGUGAAUAAGAUGCCCUAGGUUAGGGGAGAGCAGAUUUCCAAAGUCUUGGAGAAAGGGUAGGGAGGGUCCCAUGGCCUAAAAUUCUACAGGAAUUUAGCCAAGGAGAAAUGGGAAGCUCCUGACUAUGAAAUUCUGGAGACUCAAAGGAAAAGCUCUGGUGAGGAAAAGAAACUGUGGCCAAAGACGCGUGUGGAAGCGUGGGAAACUCCCUGCCCAUCUUAGACUCUCAGCAACCUCACGUGACAGACGGACCAAGAACACGUCCUCGAAGAGAAAUAAAUAUGUCACGGCCCAGAGUGGUGAGAAGAGCAUCGGGAGGGCUAAGGCUGACAGCAAGCUGAGGCUUGGGAGCAAACCAAGGCUAAUGAAAAAGUGGUUUUUAGGGCAUGUUGGGAAAGCUCAAAGAAGGGAUAAGACGGUGAAGAGAGAAGGCUGGGAAGUGAGAACUGGCAGAGCUGCGCUAACCUCAGUUCUUUGCUUUUCUGUCUUCUCUACAAAGAACCAUCUUUGGCCCAGGAAGGACGGAAUAAAAAUGACUCCCAGAGCAGGGAGACCCAGAAGGCGUAGGGAGCUCCUGAGUCCCCUGGAAGUCCGCUUCACAUCCCCAGCUUCAGAUGAAUCAGAAGACCAGGGGAUGUCCCUGGGUGUGGCCAGACAGCUCUGAAAUAUAAUGGGAAGUUAGAGAAAACCCCAGGUGCCUUCUGCCCGAUCGGUGAAUACCUGGAGGUCUGGGUAUCUUAGAAAGGAUUUAAUCUAGUGGAGAGUUUCCAGAAGAUGGCAACCUGAGCGAGGAAGAACCCACAUGCAAAUGAACUGGAAGACAUGAGAAUAGCUGACCUGGAGGAAAACAAGGUGGGCAAGGGCUGAGCUGGUUCUGCUGGGCCCUAGACCUAGAGGGCAGACCUAGAGGAAUAAGGACAAAUAGAUCAAUCUGGGCCCAAUGAAAGGAAACCAGAGCUGUCCCAAAGUCCCAAGAAUAGGAGGUUCCCUGCAUUGGAGGUCCACCAGCAAAGUCGGGAUGACCAUUUAGAAAGUAGAUGAAUGGGGGCAGCUAGGUGGCGUGGUGGAUAGAGCACCAGCCCUGAAGUCAGGAGGACCUGUGUUCAAAUCCGAACUCAGACACUUCCUAGCUGUGUGACCCUGGGCAAGUCACUUAACCCCAAUUGCCUCAACAACAACCACAAAAGAAAGUACAUGAAUUUAAUGGAAUAUUCUUACAGUGUUAUAAGAAAUAAUAUAUGGG
rnacentral:lncRNA from 1 species